CUUUUAUGCUUUAGGAACUGGUUGGUCUCCACUUUAUUAGUGUAAAGAGCCUGAGUAUACGUGGAUUUCAUUGUAAAAUUUAACUCCUUGUCUUUUACUUGGGGCACGGGGCCCCCGGAGGGCUUACCUACUUUCCCCACUAUGUUAACAGGUAAUUCUGAUUUAUGCGUUAUUUUAGUUUGACUUAUUUUUAACAAAAUAUUAGAAGUUAUGCUUUAAAAUGUUUAAUGUGGACUGAAAUUUUCAUCUUUGAGAAUCUAUGAAGUUUAUCAUAUAUGUGGCCUAAAGCAAGGUGUGUAUUUUGUUAUUCUGAAAUUGUUUUGCAUCUGGACAAAUACUAAGUAUCCCAGUGGCCUUUUUUUUUUUUUUUUAAACCUGUGUAUCCAUCUCAUCCUUUUGCGCAUUCCUAGUAAGCAAAAAAAUUUGUUAUGCCAUCUUCAUUAUUCGAAUUACAGACUGAAAAAAUAUGGCCAGUUUUUAAAGAAGUUUAGAUUAUGUUUUCCAUGGAAGGACAAGUCUGACUGUUCAUGGGCUGAUUUUCUUUAAGAGGAUUAUUCUAUUUUACAAUUUCAAUUCUAGAUCACAUUUUAUAUAUGCUGCAUGCCAAAAAAAAAAAAGAAAAAACUACCUUUUCUGGUGUGGAAGGGAAGAAAAACUAAUAUUCUACCUUACUAGUAGAGUUCAAAACAAGUUUUCAAUGAGAGCCUUUUCAGUAAAAGUUCAACAAGUUUGUUUUCUGAGCAUUUGUCAGUUAUUCUAUUUCAGAAGAGUCAAAAUUCAAGCACGAUGCAUUUUGAAGGCUUUGCAAACUCCUAAACCCCUGAUGAGUCCUCUCAUUCUGGAAGUGAGAAUUUGAGUAGAUACUGAUUUGUCCCCUAGUAUGGCAGAUGACAGGGGGGUCUUUUCCAAUCAGGCACUCAGAACACAGGCCACUGUAUGUUCUCAACCAGUAACAAUCAUACUGAGGACGAAGGACUGUCCGUUUGAUGCAGACACAAUUGAAAUGGAGAUGUAAAACUUCUUAGCAAUCAGAUGGAUAAAUUGUUUGCUUUUUACUUUAAAUAGGAAAUUGUUUUCUAAAACUAAAAUACUUGAAUUGUCAGACAAUAUAAUCUCAGCUUGUAUUAGUUUUUGAACGCUCCCAUCGAGGAAGUGUAACAAUCCAUGAAAUGUGAAUAAAUGAAAAG
rnacentral:lncRNA from 1 species